CUUCUUAUCUUAUCUUUCCAGCUGGUAUUUUGUCUUCUUUUAUUCUAGAUGUACUUCUGGAAUAAUGUUAUCUUCUCCAUUACACCUUGAACAUUGGUGAUCUGGAUAUUUGUGUCCAAUUAUUUUACAAUAUCUUGUCAGUAGUCCGUCUGAAAUAAAUCCUUUUUUUUAUUGCUCUUGCGGUAGAUUGUUUUUCUGGGUUGAGUAGCGUCAUUAUCCAUUGUCUGACAUCUUCCAUAUCUGCUUGUCGUAGCUCUUUUGAAUUAGAGUAAAUCAUUUGAUGAUCUCUUGAAUAAUAGCUCCAUAUUGGGUUUCCAUUAGUAUAAUUAUUUGCUAGUUCUUGGAUAAUCGUAGCUAGUCCAAUAAGUCAUUUAUUUGCGUAGAAGUCGGGUAUGGAAUCUCCGGUUGCUGUGUAAUAUCUUCUGGUAUGAUCAUAUCUCUAGUUAGUCCUAUCUUUACAACUUGUAUAACUGGUUUUAUUUCAUCAUAUAGUAUCUCUGCCGGUGCAGUAUAACACUUUAUAUAAAAUAAAUUUCCUUUCGUUAUCCUUUUG
rnacentral:lncRNA from 1 species